GACGAACGCUGGCGGCGUGCUUAACACAUGCAAGUCGAACGGAAAGGCCCUGCUUUUGUGGGGUGCUCGAGUGGCGAACGGGUGAGUAACACGUGAGUAACCUGCCCUUGACUUUGGGAUAACUUCAGGAAACUGGGGCUAAUACCGGAUAGGAGCUCCUGCUGCAUGGUGGGGGUUGGAAAGUUUCGGCGGUUGGGGAUGGACUCGCGGCUUAUCAGCGUGUUGGUGGGGUAGUGGCUUACCAAGGCUUUGACGGGUAGCCGGCCUGAGAGGGUGACCGGCCACAUUGGGACUGAGAUACGGCCCAGACUCCUACGGGAGGCAGCAGUGGGGAAUAUUGCACAAUGGGCGGAAGCCGUAUGCAGCAACGCCGCGUGCGGGAUGACGGCCUUCGGGUUGUAAACCGCUUUCGCCUGUGACGAAGCGUGAGUGACGGUAAUGGGUAAAGAAGCACCGGCUAACUACGUG
rnacentral:rRNA from 1 species